rnacentral:rRNA from 1 species
GUAACCUUUCUGCCGUGUCUGUGUCUUCUUCGGGAGUGCAGGUGUUGGUUGGCCGGUUCCUACAUGGUCCGGUUGGCUGGCAUGCUUUCAGGUGCGCUUCAUUGCGUGCUUGUAGCGGGCGGCAAUUUUACUUUGAACAAAUUUGAGUGCUCAAAGCAGGCCGUAGAGCCUGAAAAGUCUUGCAUGGAAUAAUGAAAUAGGACUUCGGUUCUAUUUUGUUGGUUUUCGGAUCCGAAGUAAUGGUUAAGAGGGACAAACGGGGGCAUUUGUAUGGCGGCGUGAGAGGUGAAAUUCAUGGAUCGUCGCCAGACAAACUACAGCGAAAGCAUUUGCCAAGGAUGUUUUCAUUGAUCUGGAGCGAAAGUCAGAGGAUCGAAGACGAUCAGAUACCGUCCUAGUUCUGACCAUAAACGAUGCCAACUGACGAUCCGUGGCGUGCCGCUUUUGGCCCCACGGGCAGUCCCCGGGAAACCCUUAAGUCUUUGGGCUCCGGGGGAAGUAUGGUUGCAAAGCUGAAACUUAAAGGAAUUGACGGAAGGGCACCACCAGGAGUGGAGCCUGCGGCUUAAUUMGACUCAACACGGGAAAACUCACCCGGCCCGGACACUGUGAGGAUUGACAGAUUGAAAGCUCUUUCUUGAUUCGGUGGAUGGUGGUGCAUGGCCGUUCUUAGUUGGUGGAGCGAUUUGUCUGGUUAAUUCCGAUAACGAACGAGACUCUAACCUGCUAAAUAGUGUGCUCGUCUUCUGUGCUUGCUCGGUUCUUGGGCUGCUUUGACUCCUUGAGGGUUGAAGUGCUUGAGUUACUGGCUUGUACGGUGCGGGUCUCACUUCUUAGAGGGACAAACGGUUUGGCAGCCGUACGAAACUGAGCAAUAACAGGUCUGUGAUGCCCUCAGAUGUCCGGGGCCGCACGUGCGCUACAAUGACGGUUACAACGAGUAUGAGAACCUGGCCCGAAAAGGUUGGGUAAACUGUGCCAUAACCGUCGUGACUGGGAUCGGGGCUUGCAAUUGUUCCCCGUGAACGAGGAAUUCCUGGUAAGUGCAAGUCAUAAGCUUGCGCUGAUUACGUCCCUGCCCUUUGUACAC